GUUGUAGUUGGAGAGCCCAAUGCCUUAUAAACCCCACAUUAGAAUCCCAUACUUCCAAUGUGGGACUCAAGUCCCAUACCUUGGCAAUGGGGUCCUAACAACACUUUUUGAAGGUUUGUUUUGUUUAUGGCGAACACUUAGGGGCCACACCCGUUUUAGGAGGCAGCAAUGCCACCCGUAUGUGGCACCAUAGGAAACUGACCUGUGUCAUCUCAUGCCUUGUCAGCGUUUGACCAGGGAAGAUUUUCACUUCUCACACUUUAGUCCCUGUACUUUGCUUUAUUUAUAAAAUUGUAUUUAAUUAUUUAUCGAAAAUAAUUAUGAAAUUCUAAUAAACGUAAAAUCAAUCUGAAAUACAUCUUUUCUUUGUCCUUCGUCUUCUUCCUUCAUCCACCGCACCCAACCGGUGGUGGUUCCAACACGGUCCUCAACCACAAAUCUAUUCUAAACCCUAACUCGUCAUGCAUCUUCUGUUUUGAUAAAAUCCUUUUUUUCUCUUUUUACAUUCAGAUUUAAUUUAUAAUGGGUUCUUGUACAUAAACCCUAACACACACAACAAUCUUCAGCAAUGGCCGAGGAAGAUAGCUACAACCUCUCUUCUUCCUCACAAGACGAAAUCUCCCUUUUCCUCCGUCAGAUUCUUCUCUGUUCAUCCUCUUCUUCCAACCCCAAUAUGCCUCCAUCCUCCAACUCACCCCUUCAUUCCACCGCCGGAGCCUUUCUCUCCGCUCCGCCUCACCCACUGCUUGCUGCAAAUGUGUCCUCCUCCUCUCUAGGUAUCAGUGAGAACGAGGCUGAUGAAUAUGACUGUGAAAGUGAGGUAUUGCUUCCUUCUCUUCAAACUUUCCUUUCCCUUUCCUCUGCAUCUUUGUGAAACUGGUGGCCUAAAAAAUUGUUACUUGGAUUCUGGGUAUGUUACUGGUUGGGAUCUUUGUGAAAUUGGUGCUAAGAAGGGAGGAUUUUGUUGCUUUUUUUUUGGGAUUUGAUUUUAAGUGAAAAACUAUGUUCAUUUUUUAGGUACAUUUGUUUGAUGAUUUCUCUGAAUGAAGGAGGGCAUUGAAGCAUUGGGUGAAGAGGUUAGGACAAAGUCUGUUCCUUCUUCUAGGAGCUCAUCUAAAAGGACUAGAGCAGCAGAGGUUCUUAAUUUGUCUGGAAAGAGGAGAAGGAGCAGGAUCAAUGAGAAUAUGAAGGCUUUGCAAAAUCUAAUUCCAAACUCUAACAAGACUGAUAAGGCUUUCAUGCUUGAUGAAGCUAUUGAUUACCUUAAACAGCUUCAGCUCCAAGUACAGGAUGCAGGAGACCCGGAAUCAGCAAAUUUGCUUCAAUUAGACAUGAUGGAGAAGGCUAGGAGACCUGCAUUUCCUGUGCAGCAGAGGUUGUUGGUUUCCCCCAUGCUGAGCAAGGGUCGGGUGAACCAACUCUUUCAAGAUUGGAUGUCUAGGAUGCCUCAAGAGGAUGAGGAAGAGGAGGAUCCGACAGAGCCAGCGGAAGAAGAAGAGGAGGUUAAUGAAGUGGUUGAUCCUUCACCGGCUUGGAUGGUGGUCGCUUUCAUGCGGAUGUUUUUGAGGCAAGAUCGCCUUCACCGGGAUCUUGAUCUCCACUGGAGGGGAGGAAGCACCUCAGAUCCUGGAUACCAAGGCCCAAUGGAUUUCAAUUCAUUGGAGCAGGGGAUGAUUGAUUUGAGCAUAAUGAAUGACGCCGGAGUUCAUCCGGAUUAUGGUGAUGGAGUGGGUGACCAUGGCCCCAUGGAGUGAUUGUGAUGAGGUAAUUCUAUCUUAGUUUAGGUCAUGCAUCUUUAGCAUAUAUUUUUCAUUUGUGGAUUUUGUUUUCUUUUUAUCAUGCAUCGUUUAGUUAAUUGUUUUUAUUUGUUUUGGGUCUUUUACUCCCUAUACUCACAUGUUUUUGGCUGCUAAGUUGUGCUUCCCUACUUGUGUCGGUUUUGGAAAAUUUGUUUCUUGUGGUUACUCAUGUUGUUUUGGGGAUGAGUGAUUGUAUGUUGGGGAAGAGAGGAGGAGACUUCGGUCUUCCGAGUGUUUCUUUAGAAAUGAGUUGAUUUGAGUCCAUUAAGGGUUUAUCUUUGACCCUUCACUAUAAAAUUUUCCUGGAGGAUCCUAACUCACUGACAAUUCUUGGUUCUGUAUUGAUUUCACACUUUGCAUGCUUUGUGAGACUUGCACUAUUCAUGAGACUUAUAGGUUUUUGAACCUCAGAGUUUUUCUUGGCUUAAAUAUUUGUCCCUAGUUGUCCCUUUUGAGCCUAUUGAAGAUUUCUUUGUUAGCUAAAUGAUUGGGAUGGAUGAUAGGUUGGAUUAUGGGGAGUGUUGGUCCUUACAUUAUGUUGGAGCUAAUAAUUAAAGUUUGAAAAUGUCUCUUGUCCCAAGGAAAAAAUGGAAAAGAAAAAAGAAAGAGAACUCCUAAUCAAAGUUGGAGUGGGAAAAAGAAAAAAGAAAAAAAAAAGAUCUUGAAAAGGGGUCAAGAGACUUGUGCUAAAAGGUUUGUUGUUGAGAGCUCUGGGGGUUACUAUUUGGAUCACACUCAAUGUGCUUUAAAGCCUUAGUUUUCCUUAAGGACCAACCACCUUGUACUUCACCAAGCCACACAUUUCAACCUUUGUGAAGUCUCUUUGAAUUUGUGCAUGUUUGAUCUUUGUUGCUAUUAUGUGAAUGACAUCCAGAACCUAUGAACUUGCUUGUGUGCUUAGUGCACUAAAUUAUAUCUCAUCCUAGGAUUUUAGAUCUAUAUGUUUCUCAUGAUGGACUCUAUACUCUUCUCUUUUCAAAAAGUUGCAUGAGGUGGGUUAUUGGAUCUUUUCUUUUGGAACCAGCUGUAGUUACUCUUUCCCCUAGUUUUUUGGGUAGUAUCCUUUGUGAAGGCACUUGUUUGGGAGCAUUUCUUGCGCUUGAGGGCAAGCAAGUGUUUUCUACGCUCGAGGGCGAGCUGUCGUUGAGUAUAGUGGUGUGAUGACCCUAUGUUAGUAGUUGUUUUAGGGUCAUUUCUUUGAGUGUUUUGAGUCUUUUUCUUUGUCUCAUGUAGUGUUUCUCAUGCAUUUUUGUGUUUAUUUGAGUUUGAGUCAAGUUUUAAUAAUUUUAUGGUUUUAUGAGGGUUGUUUUUGCAUUUUUUAUAGAGUUUAGGACUUGCAUGAGUUUUGGCAUGAUUUUGUGAGGACUAAGGUGGUUAAAAUCCCAUUGAAUUUCUUGAUUUUACUCCUUGUCUUGGUCCUUUAGUGCUGCAGCAGGUAACUUAUGGAAAAGCAAGGUCAAGAUGCAAAGGAAUUGAAGAAAGCAUUCAAAGGGGGUUACAAAAAGCUGAAAAGCCACCAAGAGCGUGCAGCUGGCGCUCAAGUGCCAGCACUCCAGAAGCUGGAGUUUUGCUUCUGCCUCAUGGGCGCUCAAGCGCCCCAGGGCAGCGCUUGAGCGCCCCAGCUCGACUUUUUUGCCUAUAAAUAAGGCUUUAGGCCAUUUUGUUCAGAACUUCUGAUUUUUACUUAGAUUUUUACCAAGUAUUGAAGCUUAGGAAGUGCUUUUAGGGCUUGUGAGAGGCUUCCUCCUUGUAUUUUCCAGGUCUAUGCUCUGUCUCGAUGUUAGGAGGGAUACAUAUACGAUGAUGUUGAUGUUAUAUUAAAGAUCUUAGCUGGCUUCGUACCUCGCAGGGCGCUUUGGCACGGAACAAUGUGAGACAACAAAAAUAGCUGCAUAAGGGAUUCUGACUUAUUUGCAAGAUAUAAUAUGUUCUCUUGAGGAGGAAAAAGAUGUUUAAGUAUGUCAAUUAUCAUUUGAGUGCUCUGUAACGAUUAUGUCAAUUGCAACCUAUCUGGAUAUGAGGCUUAUCUGAAGCGACACACUUCAUAUAUCCAUGGUCUGAGAGACCGGUAUCUAAGAUUUCUGACCAAGACCCCACCUAGUAGAGUUUACGGAGUCUUAUGCAUCUAGAUGCAAGCAUCUUAUAUUGUAAAUGUUUAUGUUUCUUUUGAGUGUAGAUUUGUAACAUCUUUUUAUGCAGUAAAACCUGAUGGUGAAAGUUGAGUUUUAAUACCCUUAUAAAGUAGCAGGAAUGAUUCUCAUAUUAUGGUCUAAUUUCACAAUGAUCCAUUCAUUAGUUUGAUAAAGUUUAAUUCAUAUACAGUUCUUGUGGUUCUGGAAGCAUUUUUUGUCAUGCACCUUUUGGGAAUUGGUCUAAUGAUUAUAAUAUGAAACUUGGCAGUUUGAGAAGUUUUGUUGCUUCCUUGUUAUUUUUAUUUUAUUUUGUGUCUUUUAUAUUUUUUGUUUAGGAUGGUGAGGGAUUGUACCCAAUUUAUCUUCCUUCUUAAAGCAUGUUUAUCAGAAAUAGAUCAAUUUCUUUUUCUGGGGUUAUGAAAUUUCAUGGUAUUUUUAUGCCUUUACGUGAAGUGCAGGUGAAUCUUUGUUAUAACAGAUUGUUGUAUGCUUGGUAUGAUAGGCUAUGAUUUGCUUAAGGAAAUCAAGGAAUCUUCAUCCUUGAGAUACAUACCAGUGGUGAUUAGGUCAUUUGAGAAUGUGCUUUCAAGGAUUAACAAAUGCUUGGAGGAAGGAGUAGAGGAAUUUUUUCUUGAAGCCUGUGUACAUCCUAUUAUAGAUCAACAGAAACAACACUACAAGCCAAUAAUAACAGGAGGAAGGCCAUGGAAGAGGAGACUUCACCUGUGAGUCUGUGACUGACAGAUCAAGGACCAAGAUACAUGGGGUCUAAAAUUGUAUUAUGAUAACUUUUUUUUUUGAAAAUAAAAAAGUUAACUUCAACCGUGGUUGGUGGCUCUAUAGUGUGAUAGAGAUUUGUCCCUUUUACACAUUUUGUGGAAAUAUUUACUUCUAAUUUUGUUUUUUUUAAAAGAAAUAUUCACAAGGAAUUGGACUUCGAAUAUUAUUUUAUUGCAAUGAAUUUUCUUGUUACAUCAAAGUAUAAUUGUUGAAAUUUAAAAAUGCAUUAUUAUCUUUGUAAA